AGGGCUGAGCCCCUCAGCCACGGGCGGGCGGGAGAGAGCCCCGGGGAAAGCCUGGGCAAGGGAGGGCAAAACGCUGCCAGGGCUGAGGGAGGGAAACCAGGUGAGAAACAGCCUUGCGAGCCCCGAGGGCAGAGUGGGAGGAGGAGAGACGCCGGCAGGGAUGGCCCUGCGGCUCGGGAGAGACCCCGAUGGAGCAGGUGGACACGCCCUGAGGGAAGCUGCAGCCCAUAGAGAGCUCACACUUGGGCAAGCUUAUUCUGAAGGACUGCAGUCUCUUGGAAGGCCCCAGGCUGGAGCUGGGGAAGAACGUGGAGAAAAGAAGGAGGAGAAAGGAGUGAACACCCUUCAAGAUCUAACCAUGAGAACAUCAAAAGAGUAAAAGUUUAGAGGAGACGAGAAUGGAUGAAGAAAUGCAUCUAGAGUUGAGAAAUAAAACUCAAGACAACACUCCUUUAAGGAACAAAAUUGACUUACAUGUGCACCUUUUAAAAGAGUUUGUUGGAAAUUUUACUGCAUUUCUUUCUGUUGAAUUUUGGGAAAAAUCUGUUGGAGCAGUUCAGGCAAGCUUGCAUAAACAAAUGCAAAAAUCUUUUCUGAAAAGAAUAACAGCAAUUAACUUUGUUAGCACUUGACAUACAAAAGAAAACUAGCCUGAGGUACCUAGUCUGUUCUAGACCAGCAACAUGAAGGUGGCUUUCUUAACACCCUUAGGAGAAUACCAGACCCUUUAUCUUAUCUCUUGUCAGUCAAAUGUCAUGUAGCUUGUCAUAACCAUUAACUCCUUAAAUAUGCUGAAAAAAACAUUUAUUUCCUGAACUCUGAUCUUUGAGCUCAAUUUUCCUAAAAAUUGUGUAUUAAACAGAUAUAUCUAACAAGAAAGCUCUCCCUUAUCUUUCAGUAGUGUUUCGUUGCCUGUAAUUCUGUAGAACUGAAGAUUAUAAGAAUAAGAUUCUUCUGUUGAAAUUAAUCAGCAAUGUAUAAUAUCUCUAAAAACACUUGAAUAAAAUGCUAAGAUGUAGUGGC